rnacentral:rRNA from 1 species
AUUGAACGCUGGCGGCAGGCUUAACACAUGCAAGUCGAGCGGAGAUGAGGUGCUUGCACCUUAUCUUAGCGGCGGACGGGUGAGUAAUGCUUAGGAAUCUGCCUAUUAGUGGGGGACAACAUUCUGAAAGGAAUGCUAAUACCGCAUACGUCCUACGGGAGAAAGCAGGGGAUCUUCGGACCUUGCGCUAAUAGAUGAGCCUAAGUCGGAUUAGCUAGUUGGUGGGGUAAAGGCCUACCAAGGCGACGACCUGUAGCGGGUCUGAGAGGAUGAUCCGCCACACUGGGACUGAGACACGGCCCAGACUCCUACGGGAGGCAGCAGUGGGGAAUAUUGGACAAUGGGGGGAACCCUGAUCCAGCCAUGCCGCGUGUGUGAAGAAGGCCUUAUGGUUGUAAAGCACUUUAAGCGAGGAGGAGGCUACUGAGACUAAUACUCUUGGAUAGUGGACGUUACUCGCAGAAUAAGCACCGGCUAACUCUGUGCCAGCCGCCGCCGUAAAAC